rnacentral:tRNA from 1 species
GGCAGGGUAGAGUAGAUGGAAACUUACCAGCCUCCUACGCUGGAGAUCGGCGGUUCGAGUCCGCCCCCUGCAA